GUCUACGGCCAUACCACCCUGAACGCGCCCGAUCUCGUCUGAUCUCGGAAGCUAAGCAGGGUCGGGCCUGGUUAGUACUUGGAAGGGAGACAGUGAUUGCUCGCUC
rnacentral:rRNA from 1 species